GUUUGGCCAACCAUCUGCAAGCAGAUAGUCGGCAAUUAGUCAUCGGUUUUGUUGGGUGGCACGAAGUCAGCCGCUUGCCGUACUCGGGUCUCUGCUGGCGGACCAUCUUACUUGUUUCUAUCCAUUCGGAAGCGUGUUUGUAUCCAAGGCCAGUGCACAAAGACACAACACUUAGUGUAAGGAGCACAAAACCUGGACUACUGAGAAAUGGAAAAUGGAAGUUCGGAAGCACAGCGUGUGAAGUAAAUAUCCACCUCCUUCAUCACUCAAAGAACUGGAGGCUUUUCUUCUUGACUAAUGGGGUUCCAUCUGCCUGGAACUGAAAGAUGAGAGAGACCGGCAUCAGUUUCCACCGGCUAAUACGACGCAACACAACGAGCUGGCCCAAAGCACGUCAGCUGUAGCCAAUGUAUCACAUUAGUAGCAGACUUAAUGCUAUGAGAUGUAACUGCGUGGCUAAAAGAACAGUGCAUCACCAGGCAGACAAGGCCAGCUUCCAUUAGGCCCUAGCCAUUUCUUCUCUGUUAAUCUUUGAUGGGACUGUCAUGUGAGGAUAAAUGCCAAACAGCUCUACCUCUUUCACUGGGUCUUUGAUUUGUGACCUGAAUGCACUUAAUCUCAAUGGCAUUAUAGAUUUAUACCUAUUUUUAUGUAGAGAAUCACCUUGGAUUUUCUAGAUAUAGAUGGAAUCAAUGCGUUAUAGUUAUUUGUGGAUGAAAGGAAGUCUCAUUUAUAUGAACCGGGUAGAGGAAGUCUCAUGUCUUUCUCUUUGGAUAGCCUGCUUGAGUGAGGAACAGAUUACCAUUUCUGUACAUGACAUACAAUUAAUUGCUGUAUGUGACAACUUGGCUUGAUCUGAACUGAUCACUACCCAUUGAGAAAACCAGAAACAUUCCCAAAACAUUAGCUAACAUUACUUCUAUUUAGAAAGUAAGCUAACAUCUGUUUGAUAACAUUGCACAAACAUUCAAGUAAUCUUUUUGAUCCCCAAAUAUCUUUCAAGCAAUGUUUCAAAUAGAAUAUUCCUGGAUGGUCCACCUAAAUAAAAUAUUUUUCACAAUAUCUGUAACCACAAAGAACAUGAGUGUAAGAUUCCCAUUAUUACACCCUGGAAUAGAUGAGGUAAAAAGAUUGAUCCAAACAUUGGAAAUUAUUGGGAAAGAUGGGAAUAUGUCAUCUGAGAAAGAUCUAGUUUCUUCUCAGUUUCUUCCCCAUCAAAAGUAUUCCACAUUUACUAUUAUAUAUUUACAAUUAUAUCACCAUGCUCUCAAAGGCCAGAUGUACAAUAGCAUAAAUACUAUAUCUGUAUCAUAAAUACUAUACCUGUAUCCACAAAUACUGAAUGAUGGUAUGUCAGCAUAACAUGUUAGGUACCAC
ensembl:lncRNA